GGGUUGAUGGUUUCUGUAAAGU
rnacentral:miRNA from 10 species